UUAAGGAAUUCCUUAUUCUCUCAGAGAUAGCAAAAGUUGUGAACACAUUGACGGAUGAAGAAAAGCAGAGAAACAACCUUGGACUUGAUAUGCUAUUUGUUCAUGGAUCACAUCCUUUAGGUGGAAAGAUCUUUUCAUUCUG